UCCGGAUUAACUCCGGCAGUACUGUUAGAGUGCCCAACUAAAUGGUGGCAACUAACAGCGAGGGUUGCGCUCGUUGCGGGACUUAACCCAACAUCUCACGACACGAGCUGACGACAACCAUGCAUCACCUGUAUACCGCCCUUGCGGACCCCAUGUCUCCAUGAGUUUUCGGUAUAUGUCAAGCCUUGGUAAGGUUCUUCGCGUUGCAUCGAAUUAAUCCGCAUGCUCCGCCGCUUGUGCGGGCCCCCGUCAAUUCCUUUGAGUUUUAGCCUUGCGGCCGUACUCCCCAGGCGGGGCGCUUAAUGCGUUAGCUGCGGCACGGAACUCGUGGAAUGAGCCCCACACCUAGCGCCCAACGUUUACGGUGUGGACUAC
rnacentral:misc_RNA from 1 species